UCGCCUGUUUAUCAAAAACAUGGUCUUUUGUUUAUAUAAAAGAUUUGACCUGCCCAGUGAUAUAAUAAAUGGCUGCAGUAUAUUGACUGUACAAAGGUAGCAUAAUAAUUUGUCUCUUAAUUGGAGUCUGGAAUGAAAGGUUGGAUGAAAAAUUUACUUUCUUUAUUUUAUAUAUAAAAUUUAACUUUUAAAUCAAAAGGUUUAAAUAAUAAUAAAAGACGAGAAGACCCUAUAGAACUUUAUUUUUUAAUAUUAAUUGAUUGAUUGUGAAUGACUAUUUAUUAAUUGAUAAAAAUUUUGUUGGGGUGACAGAAAAAAUUUUAUAACUUUUUUUAUUUUUUUCAUUUAUAUAUGAAUUGUUGAUCCUUUAUUAGGGAAAAAAGAUUAAGUUACCUUAGGGAUAACAGCGUUAUUAUUUCAGAGAGUUCAUAUUGAUGAAAUAGUUUGCGACCUCGAUGUUGGAUUAAAAUUAGUUUCAGGGGCACAAGAUUGAAUACUAGGUCUGUUCGACCUUUAAAUUUUUACAUGAUCUGAGUUCAAACCGGAGA
rnacentral:rRNA from 1 species